rnacentral:rRNA from 1 species
AUUGAACGCUGGCGGCAGGCCUAACACAUGAAAGUCGAGCGGAUGAAGGGAGCUUGCUCAUGGAUUCAGCGGCGGACGGGUGAGUAAUGCCUAGGAAUCUGCCUGGUAGUGGGAGAUAACGUCCGGAAACGGGCGCUAAUACCGCAUACGUCCUGAGGGAGAAAGUGGGGGAUCUUCGGACCUCACGCUAUCAGAUGAGCCUAGGUCGGAUUAGCUAGUUGGUGGGGUAAAGGCCUACCAAGGCGACGAUCCGUAACUGGUCUGAGAGGAUGAUCAGUCACACUGGAACUGAGACACGGUCCAGACUCCUACGGGAGGCAGCAGUGGGGAAUAUUGGACAAUGGGCGAAAGCCUGAUCCAGCCAUGCCGCGUGUGUGAAGAAGGUCUUCGGAUUGUAAAGCACUUUAAGUUGGGAGGAAGGGCAGUAAGUUAAUACCUUGCUGUUUUGACGUUACCAGCAGAAUAAGCACCGGCUAACUUCGUA